rnacentral:rRNA from 1 species
CGGAGGGUGCAAGCGUUAUCCGGAUUUACUGGGUUUAAAGGGUGCGUAGGUGGGUAGGUAAGUCAGUGGUGAAAUCUUCAAAGCUUAACUUGGAAACUGCCAUUGAUACUAUUUAUCUUGAAUACUUUGGAGGUAAGCGGAAUAUGUCAUGUAGCGGUGAAAUGCUUAGAUAUGACAUAGAACACCAAUUGCGAAGGCAGCUUACUACACAGUUAUUGACACUGAGGCACGAAAGCGUAGGGGAUCAAACAGGAUU